GUGGGGAAUCUUAGACAAUGGGGGAAACCCUGAUCUAGCCAUGCCGCGUGAGCGAUGAAGGCCUUAGGGUUGUAAAGCUCUUUCAGCUGGGAAGAUAAUGACUGUACCAGCAGAAGAAGCCCCGGCUAACUCCGUGCCAGCAGCCGCGGUAAUACGGAGGGGGCUAGCGUUGUUCGGAAUUACUGGGCGUAAAGCGCACGUAGGCGGACCGGAAAGUCAGAGGUGAAAUCCCAGGGCUCAACCUUGGAACUGCCUUUGAAACUCCUGGUCUUGAGGUCGAGAGAGGUGAGUGGAAUUCCGAGUGUAGAGGUGAAAUUCGUAGAUAUUCGGAGGAACACCAGUGGCGAAGGCGGCUCACUGGCUCGAUACUGACGCUGAGGUGCGAAAGCGUGUGGAGCAAACAGGAUUAGAAACCCUAGUAGUCC
rnacentral:rRNA from 1 species